GACUGUGCGUUUAGCAUGAAUUAGUAUUAUUAGUAUUACCAACCACGUUAUAAGUACAUGCUGGUAUUGUUUUCAGGGGCGUUUCUAUAUUGCUCAAAUUGUACCUCGUGUCGAUGGAGAAUUGGAUGUUUUUGUUUUGCGGUAAAGGAAAGAGUUUAAUAAAGGCGAUGAACAAAGAAGAACAACGUCGGAUGGUGCAAGAAGAGAGGUCAACGUCGGAUGCAUGCCAGAAGAGAGGUCAAUAUCAGAUAGUGCCAAAAGAGGUCAUUUUCGGAUGGGUACCAGAAGAGAGGUCAUUUUCGGAUGGAUGCCAGAAGAGAGGUCAAUUUCGGAUGGAUGCCAGAAGAGAGGUCAAUUUCGGAUGGAUGACAGAAGAGGUCAAUUUCGGAAGGAUCCCAGAAGAGGUCAGUUUUGGAUGGUGCAAGAAGAGAGGUCAGUUUCGGAUGUGUCCCAGAAGAGAGGUCAAAUUCAAAUGGGGGUCGGUAGAGAGGUCAAUUUCGGAUGGGUCCCAGAAGAGAAGUCAAUUUCGGAUUCGGGUCGGUAGAGAAGUCAAUUUCGGAUGGGUCCCAGAAGAGAGGUCAAUUUCGGAUUCGGGUUGGUAGAGAAGUCAAUUUCGGAUGGGUCCCAGAAGAGAGGUCAAUUUCGGAUGGGGGUCGGUAGAGAGGUCAAUUUCGGAUGAAUGUCUGUCUGUCUGUCUGGCCAACGGUUAUCGAAAUUCCGUUCCGUUUUCUUUCCUCGCGUCCUCCCAUUUUCUUCGCUCUACACAUAAGAAACCUGGGAAUACUGUUGUAGAUUUCUUUUUACCAGCCGCGUUACCGAAUGCUGGUAUAGUUUUCGGACGCUUGUGAUCACUCCUCACCAGGCUUUCGAGCACUUCCAGCACAACUUUUUACCCCAUGAGGAGGGUUGAUGAGUCAGUGGCUCAGUGGCCAUCGUGUCUAGCUACAAAUCCAAAGGCCCGAGUUCGAAUCUCAGCCUGGCCAGUCGGCGUGCAGCUCACCCAGUCUUACAUCCUCCCUUUCGGGCUGGUCGAUAAAUGGGUACUGGGGAAACCUGGGGAAGGUAAACUGUGGUAACCCGGAUGUUGCACUUACCCUGUGGUCCGGAGUAAUGGGUUCUCAACUUCUCAUCCACCACAGGGUUAAGGGACAAUGUGACGGAGACGAGCACCGUGGCCACGCACGUCUAUAGUGUAUGCCCCGAACUUUACCUUACGUUUACCUAUUAGUCCAGGGCUACGUUGUCAGAUUGUCGUACUCAGGCUCUUAUAUAUACCGACUUCCGACGCCAAAACUGUCUCCUGGUCCCCAAUAACGAGAUGCAUUUAUAUAUAUAUCGUUAAAACGGUUAAUUCCUGAUGUUUCUUGGCAAUAGUUAGGCGUCAGAAACCGGUAAAUACUAUACUCUGAGUACGAUAAUCUGGCAGGGGUGGUUCAGUGGCUGAUGGGAGUCCCUUAUAUUGGCUGCCUCUAGUUUAUUGGUAUGUGUAGUGAAGGGACGAGGAGGAGGGAUGGGUGACGUGCGGUGACGACAGUGAAGAAGCGGUGUGUGAUGAUAGUGAACAAACCCACACCAAUGAUAAUAAUAGUAAUAAUAAAAAUAAUAAUAAUAAUAAUAAUUCACUAACAGAAGGGAAAGGACUAGUAAACGUUAAUAUACGGAGGUAAACAACAAUAACAAACAAACAAAAAAAUAAACAACAGUAACUCACAGCGCGCGGUUCAGGGUCAAAUAUUUAUCGUUCACCUCAGCGACGCCUCAAGGACACUUACGCAACACCCAUAACAACAACAAAAACAACUUCAACAAUAACAAUAACAACAACAACAACUUCAGAAACGUGGCGAUAGUGAGUAGCGUCCUGACAACCUGUGAAAGGAUACACACACACACACACACACACACACACACACACACACACACACA